rnacentral:rRNA from 1 species
UAGGGAAUCUUCCACAAUGGACGAAAGUCUGAUGGAGCAACGCCGCGUGAGUGAAGAAGGGUUUCGGCUCGUAAAACUCUGUUGUUAAAGAAGAACAUAUCUGAGAGUAACUGUUCAGGUAUUGACGGUAUUUAACCUGAAAGCCACGGCUAACUACGUGCCGG